GUAAUGCCGGAUGUUCCAGUUGAUCGCAUGGUCUUCUGGGAAAGCUUUCGCGGUAUGGGAUGGGGUCGCGUCCUAUCAGCUUGACGGCGGGGUAACGGCCCACCGUGGCUUCGACGGGUAGCCGGCCUGAGAGGGCGACCGGCCACAUUGGGACUGAGAUACGGCCCAGACUCCUACGGGAGGCAGCAGUGGGGAAUAUUGCACAAUGGGCGCAAGCCUGAUGCAGCGACGCCGCGUGAGGGAUGGAGGCCUUCGGGUUGUAAACCUCUUUUAUCGGGGAGCAAGCGAGAGUGAGUUUACCCGUUGAAUAAGCACCGGCUAACUACGUGCCAGCAGCCGCGGUAAUACGUAGGGUGCAAGCGUUAUCCGGAAUUAUUGGGCGUAAAGGGCUCGUAGGCGGUUCGUCGCGUCCGGUGUGAAAGUCCAUCGCUUAACGGUGGAUCCGCGCCGGGUACGGGCGGGCUUGAGUGCGGUAGGGGAGACUGGAAUUCCCGGUGUAACGGUGGAAUGUGUAGAUAUCGGGAA
rnacentral:rRNA from 1 species